GAUUAACGCUGGCGGCGUGCCUAACACAUGCAAGUCGAGCGGCAGCGAGUUUUACACUGAAUUCUGGAAGCUUCUAGUUGCAAGAGAAGAUUUAUUCAAGAAUUUUGUGUAAAAUGUCGGCGAGCGGCGGACGGCUGAGUAACGCGUGGGAACGUACCCCAAAGUGAGGGAUAACGCAUCGAAAGGUGUGCUAAUACCGCAUAUGGUCUUCGGAUUAAAGCCUUCGGGCGCUUUGGGAACGGCCUGCGUAAGAUUAGAUAGUUGGUGGGGUAAUGGCCUACCAAGUCGACGAUCUUUAACUGGUUUGAGAGGAUGAUCAGUCAGACUGGAACUGAGACACGGUCCAGACUCCUACGGGAGGCAGCAGUGAGGAAUCUUCCACAAUGGGCGAAAGCCUGAUGGAGCAACGCCGCGUGCAGGAUGAAGGCCUUCGGGUUGUAAACUGCUUUUAUAAGUGAGGAUUAUGACAGUAACUUAUGAAUAAGGAUCGGCUAACUACGUG
rnacentral:rRNA from 1 species